rnacentral:lncRNA from 1 species
GGGGAUCAAGAACGGAGUUACAAGUGAUGAUUUCAGGACUUUGAAGCCGCCAUAAGGAGUGCAUGAAGCCUUGGACGAAAUAUACAAGAUGCCACUUCAUAAUAUUCGUCCAUAGGCUAUUCUAGGUGCUGCGUCACAUUAUUAAUGGGCCAGGCCCAUGUAAUUUCGAAAUACUUAAGUAUAGGCUAUUUUUAGAGUCCGUAUAUGUGGGGAAACAAGAGUUAGGGUUGAUUUCGGACCCCACCCUCAAUGGCCACGAAAUUCCCCCCUCUUCCUCCAUAUAUACAACCCUUAGGGCGUCGUUUAGACUUUGGGUUUUGUUUAGAUUAAAAGUUCGCCAUAGCUGCAACUUCGCGUACUUCGUUUGUGUCCAACGACCAGACCAAGACAUCACAGAACCCCACCUUGAUCAAUAAAGCUUUCAUCUUAUAUUCACAAUAUCCCGAUUGCAAUCUCAGUUUCUUGCUUGUUCUUCGUUUGCUCGCAGGAAACAGACCCUCGUGGUCAGGUUGAUCAUGCUCUGGCGUGGUCAAUAACCCUCGGAAGUUGGUUUAGCGAUUGCUAAGGCGCGACGUCUCGCACGUUCGUAGUCGGAUCGUCAAGGUCGACUCCCACAGAAAACGAUAGCCACCAUCUCAUUGAAACAUCGGGACACCUUAGCCUCUAUCAAGUGGUAUCAGAUUUCCAGGUUGCUCGGUGAGAUUUUACAGUUUUUCGUAGAUUAGAUCCAGUCUGUUCUUCAUACCUAAAGUCCACGAAAAAGCCAGAAAAAAAAAUUAGGGUUAGUUCAUCAUAUCCGAACCAAUCUGAGCCUUUGCAUAAUCUUUUUAGGGUUUUUGCUUUGUUGAAUUUGCGGUUGCAUCGUCGUGUCAAGUUGCUGGUCUUAGAGUCUAGUCUUUUAGAGUUUCGAGUUCUGGUCAUAAGUUGUCACGCCGCCGCCGCACCAUCAUCAUCGCCCAUCUACCACUUUUGCUUAUCCGUCACCGCUCUGAAUCCAUAUCCAUAUACCACCACCAAUCCGUAUCCAUAUACCACCACCAAUCUAUAUCCAUAUACCACCACCGCUACCAUAUACCACCACCGCUACCAUAUACCACAACCAUAUAUCCACCACCAAUCCGAGUUCUUCUCAUAUUAGGUUUGUUCUUGAGAUCAAUCUAAAUUCUGAUUCGUGUUUCCUUGCCUGCGUAGGUCUCGAAAAAAAAAGAGUCUGGAGACCCCCGGGCAGUUUUUAGCCCAAAAUUUUCACGGGCAAAUUUUUUCCCUAUCCUAUUUUUAGGCUUUUCUAAGUCUUUUGAGCCACAUUCCAUCAUAGUGAUUUUUUGUCGCACUUUUUCGUCGUCGCUGCCCUAAUUUCCGAAAAAAAAUUCAUGCCCAUCCUAUCAGUUCGACGAGGGAAGAGUUUUGAGACACUCGCCAUUAUAGUGAUUUUUCGCAAAAAAAAGAGGAGCGCAAAAAAACGAGCGCAAAAAAAAGAGUUCCAGAGUGUGCUUUUCCCUUAUUUACGUGCAGUGCCGUGAUUUUGUUAGUGUUCUAGGCUCGCGUCUCUAGCACGGUCUAGCCUAGGACCAGCACAGUACCGUCGUUGAGCGUUUAUUCAACUUUGCAUCUCUGAAUUGAUUAUUGCUGACCCUUUUUGCUACCAUACUAUAAGCCUUCCCAGCUCCACAUACAUCUACGUCGUGCGUUUGACUCUCCCUGGCAAUCGCUCUAUCCAAGCUUUUGAGAGUUUUGACUACAACGGUUGCCAAUCACCGCCUGCUGCUGGGUAAGAACUGGUAAGAAUUUGAGAUUUGCUUGACGGAUUUGUGACACCCGCCACCACCACCACUUGUUAGUAGUCUGUAGGAUCAUAUUUCUUGUGUGUUUCUAUUGCUGCUAACCAUGCCAGGAUCACAAGCCGACGAGACUGACUGGGAGAACUUGACGAACAAGGAGCUUCAUGAUACGUUUCAGCAAAUGAUGAGUGGAUAGGUGCACAAUGUGAUAAAUAGAUUUGAAGAGGCCAUGGAGAAGAUAGAUGGCAUGGAGAAGACGUUUGAAAUAAAGCUCGAUAACAAGUUUGCUGAAUUGCUUUCGCGUUUUCCACCACCACCACCGGCUGCUCCUGCCGCACCUCUGCAACAACAGCAACAACAUCGACUACCUCCACGUCGGGAAACAGCCCUCCGCCGAGCGAGCCGUGUCCCUCUUCAGUCGGGCCAAACUGCUGGUGCUGCUGUUGAUACUUCUGUGGCUCCUACUGCUGAUGUGGAGGAGGAUGAUUAUGUGGGAGAUUAUGAGGAUGAGGUUGAUCAAAAUCAGAACUACGUGCCACCACCAGCACAGCAACCACCAGGUCGUCCACAUGCAAAUAAUGGCAAUGGUAGGGCUCACCCUCAGGUACGAGAUCAUGACCAUCUCCCUAAACUAAAAUUGAAUAUUCCACCAUUUGAGGGUAGAUAUGUUCCUGAUAUAUAUCUUACUUGGGAGUUAGAAACUGAACAACGAUUUACAUGUUUACAAUAUCCCGAGGAGAGACGUGUUCCUGCUGCUGUUUGUGCAUUCACUCGUUUUGCAUGUGUUUGGUGGUCUGAGCAUUGUAGAUUAUAUCCUAUUCCGGCUACUUGGGCUGCUUUGAAAACUGCUAUGCGUACUCGUUGGGUUCCACCAUAUUAUCAACGUGAAUUACUUCAAAAAUUGCAGCGCUUAAGACAGGGAAAAAAUUCUGUAGAAGAAUAUUAUCAGGAAUUACAAACUGGCAUGAUUAGAUGUGGUAUUGUUGAGAAGAAUGAAGCUAUGCUUGCACAUUUUAUGGGUGGAUUAAAUAGAGAGAUUCAGACGAUUCUAGAGUAUAAGGAGUAUACUAAUAUCACUCGUUUAUUCCAUCUUGCUUGUAAAGCUGAACGUGAAGUGCAGGAUCGACAGGCAUUGGCACGGACUAACUUUUCUGCAGGUCGACCUUCAACAUGGACACCACGUGCAUCAUCUACUUCCACAUGUUCUGCUACACCGGCGCCUCCGUCGGCUGCCACCUCCAACUGUGAUACAAUAAAGCAGGCACAAUCACCACUAUCUGCCAAGAGCACACCUUCUGGGCCUGCAACGAGCUCUUCUUCAUCCAUGGCAUCAACAGGGCAAGCACAUGAUAUUAUUUGUCGAUGUUGCAAGGGUGGAGGUCAUUAUGCGAGAGAAUGCCCAUCUAAGCGUGUGAUGAUUGUUACUGAGGAUGGUGGGUAUGAGUCCGCUAGUGACUAUGAUGAGGAGACCUUGGCUCUUAUUACAUGUGAAGAACACGGUGGAGAUGAUUCUGAUCAUGAGACGCAAUACAUGGCUCCUGAAGAUGCUGACAGGUAUGAAUGUUUAGUUGCUCAACGUGUUUUGAGUGUGCAGGUUACACAAGCUGAGCAAAAUCAGAGGCAUAAUUUGUUCCAUACAAAGGGAGUUGUGAAGUAACGUUCUGUUCACGUGAUCAUAGAUGGAGGGAGCUGCAAUAACUUGUCUAGCAUGGAGAUGGUGGAGAAGCUAUCUCUCACCACAAGACCACAUCCACAUCCUUACUACAUCCAAUGGUUCAACAACAGCGGCAAGGUUAAGGUAACACGUACUGUUCGUGUGCAUUUUAGUAUCUCUACAUAUGCUGAUUAUGUUGAUUGUGAUGUGGUACCUAUGCAAGCAUGUUCCUUAUUACUUGGUAGACCAUGGCAAUUUGAUAAAAAUUCUGUACACCAUGGUAGAAACAAUCAGUAUACUCUUGUUCAUAACGAUAAAAAUAUUACUUUGCUUCCUAUGACUCCUGAUUCCAUUUUGAAAGAUGAUAUUAAUAGAGCUAAUAAAGCAAAACAGGAGACAAAUAAGAGUGAAAAUCAGAUUGUGGCAAAAGAAUUUGAGCACCAAAUGAAGCCUAAUAAUAAACCAUCUACUGUUGUUUCUGAAAUUAAAUUGAAAAGUGCAUGUUUACUUGCCACCAAAUCUGAUAUUGAUGAGCUAGAUUUUAGCAAAUCUGUUUGCUAUGCUUUUGUGUGCAAAGAGGCAUUAUUUUCAUUCGAGGACAUGCCUUCCUCUUUGCCCCCUGCUGUCACUAACAUUUUGCAGGAGUUCGCUGACGUCUUUCCACAAGACGUGCCACCGGGAUUACCACCUACUCGUGGGAUUGAGCAUCAAAUUGACUUAAUUCCCGGUGCUUCGCUACCCAACCGUGCACCAUACCGUACCAAUCCAGAGGAGACGAAGGAGAUUAUGCGUCAAGUACAAGAACUGCUCGACAAAGGUUAUAUACGCGAAUCCCUUAGUCCUUGUGCUGUUCCUAUCAUUUUAGUGCCGAAAAAGGAUGGUACGUCGCGUAUGUGCGUUGAUUGUAGAGGCAUUAAUAAUAUUACUAUUCGUUAUCGUCAUCCUAUUCCUAGGCUAGAUGAUAUGCUUGAUGAAUUGAGUGGCUCUACAAUAUUCUCCAAAGUUGAUUUACGUAGUGGAUACCAUCAAAUUCGUAUGAAAUUGGGUGAUGAAUGGAAAACAGCAUUUAAAACUAAGUUUGGAUUAUAUGAGUGGUUAGUCAUGCCUUUUGGGUUAACUAAUGCACCUAGUACUUUCAUGAGGUUAAUGAACGAAGUUUUACGUGCUUUCAUUGGACGAUUUGUGGUAGUUUACUUUGAUGAAAUAUUGAUUUAUAGCAAAUCCUUGGAGGAACAUUUGGAACAUUUAUGUGUUGUUUUUAUUGCUCUACAUGAUGCACAUUUGUUUGGAAACCUUGGAAAGUGCACCUUUUGCACCGACCGAGUAUCUUUUCUUGGCUAUGUUGUUACUCCACAGGGAAUUGAAGUUGAUAAAGCCAAGAUUGAAGCUAUUGAGAGUUGGCCGCAGCCCAAAACGGUCACACAAGUGAGGAGUUUCCUUGGCCUCGCUGGUUUCUAUAGGCGUUUUGUGAGAGAUUUCAGCACCAUUGCUGCACCUCUCAACGAGCUUACAAAGAAGGAUGUGCCUUUUGUUUGGGGUACCGCACAGGAAGAAGCCUUCACGGUAUUGAAAGAUAAGUUGACACAUGCUCCUUUACUCCAACUUCCUAAUUUCAAUAAGACUUUUGAGCUUGAAUGUGAUGCUAGUGGAAUUGGAUUAGGAGGUGUGUUAUUACAAGAUGGAAAACCUGUUGCAUACUUUUCUGAAAAAUUGAGUGGGCCUAGUCUGAACUAUUCUACUUAUGAUGAAGAAUUAUAUGCUCUUGUUCGGACCUUAGAAACAUGGCAACAUUAUUUAUGGCCCAAGGAAUUUGUUAUACAUUCUGAUCAUGAAUCUUUGAAACACACUAAAAGUCAAGCAAAACUGAACCGUAGACAUGCUAAAUGGGUUGAAUUCAUUGAGACUUUCCCUUAUGUCAUUAAACACAAGAAGGGUAAAGAAAAUGUUAUUGCUGAUGCCUUGUCUCGUCGUUAUACUAUGCUUUCACAACUUGACUUUAAAAUAUUUGGUUUGGAGACCAUCAAAGAUCAAUAUGUUCACGAUGCUGAAUUUAAAGAUGUAUUGCAGAAUUGUAAGGAAUGGAGAACUUGGAACAAGUUCGUUCUUAGCGAUGGAUUUGUGUUUCGUGCUAACAAGCGAUGCAUUCCAGCUAGCUCCGUUCGCCUUUUGUUGUUGCAGGAGGCGCAUGGAGGAGGAUUAAUGGGACACUUUGGCGUCAAGAAGACGGAGGAUAUACUUGCUACACAUUUCUUUUGGCCAAAGAUGAGACGGGAUGUUGAGUGUUUUGUUGCUCGCUGCACUACAUGUCAAAGAGCUAAGUCACGACUCAAUCCUCAUGGUUUAUAUAUGCCUUUGCCUGUACCUAGUGUUCCUUAGGAGGAUAUAUCUAUGGACUUUGUUUUAGGUUUACCUCGAACAAAGAAGGGGAGGGAUAGCAUAUUUAUUGUCGUGGAUAGGUUCUCGAAAAUGGCACACUUUAUACCAUGUCAUAAAAGCGAUGAUGCUGUUAAUGUUGCUGAUUUGUUCUUUCGUGAAAUUAUUCGCUUACAUGGUGUGCCAAAUACUAUUGUUUCAGAUCGUGAUAAUAAAUUUCUUAGCCACUUUUGGAGAUGUUUAUGGGCUAAGUUGGGGACUAAGCUGCUUUUUAGUACUACUUGUCACCCCCAAACUGAUGGACAAACUGAAGUAGUCAAUAGAACAUUGUCUACUAUGCUUAGGUCUGUUUUGAAGAAUAACAAGAAAAUGUGGGAAGAAUGCUUGCCUCAUAUUGAAUUUGCUUAUAAUCGUUCAUUGCAUUCUACUACUAAGAUGUGCCCUUUUGAAAUUGUGUAUGGUUUCCUACCUCGUGCACCUAUUGAUUUGUUGCCUCUUCCAUCUUCAGAGAAGGUUAAUUUUGAUGCUAAAGAACAUUCUGAAUUGAUUUUAAAAAUGCAUGAGUUAACUAAGGAAAACAUUGAGCGUAUGAAUGCUAAAUAUAAACUUGCUGGACAUAAGGGUAGAAAACAUGUUGUGUUUGCGCCUGGAGAUCUUGUUUGGUUACAUUUGCGUAAAGAUAGAUUUCCUAAUCUACGCAAAUCAAAGCUAAUGCCAUGUGCUGAUGGUCCUUUUAAGGUGUUAGAGAAAAUAAAUGAUAAUGCAUAUAAACUUGAGCUACCUGUAGAUUUUGGGGUUAGUCCCACUUUUAACAUUGCAGAUUUGAAGCCUUAUUUGGGUGAGGAAGAUGCGCUUCCGUCGAGGACGACUUCAUUUCAAGAAGGGGAGGAUGAUGAGGACAUCAAUACCAUUGUUACACCCACAGCCCCUACUGUUACAUAUACUGGACCAAUUACUAGAGCUCGCGCACGCCAAUUAAAUUACCAGGUACUUUCGUUUCUUGGUAAUGAUUCUAAUGUUCAUGAGAUUAUGAUGCUGCCUAAAUUGGAUACAUUUGUUUUGCUUACAAAUGAAGGGCCUAGCUUGGAGAAGGAUGAACAUUGGAGCAAGAACACGCAUGGAGUUGAUGGCAUGCGCAAGGGGAUCAAGAACGGAGUUACAAGUGAUGAUUUCAGGACUUUGAAGCCGCCAUAAGGAGUGCAUGAAGCCUUGGACGAAAUAUACAAGAUGCCACUUCAUAAUAUUCGUCCAUAGGCUAUUCUAGGUGCUGCGUCACCUUAUUAAUGGGCCAGGCCCAUGUAAUUUCGAAAUACUUAAGUAUAGGCUAUUUUUAGAGUCCGUAUGUGUGGGGAAACAAGAGUUAGGGUUGGUUUCGGACGCCACCCUCAAGGGCCACGAAAUUCCCCCCUCUUCCUCCAUAUAUAUAGCCCUUAGGGCGUCGUUUAGACUUUGGGUUUUGUUUAGAUUAAAAGUUCGCCAUAGCUGCAACUUCGCGUACUUCGUUUGUGUCCAACGACCAGACCAAGACGUCACAGAACCCCAUCUUGAUCAAUAAAGCUUUCAUCUUAUAUUCGCAAUAUCCCGAUUGCAAUCUCAGUUUCUUGCUUGUUCUUCAUUUGCUCGCAGGAAACAGACCCUCGUGGUCAGGUUGAUCGUGCUCCGGCGUGGUCAAUUACCCUCGGUAGUUGGUUUAGCGAUUGCUAAGGCGCGACGUCUCGCACGUUCGUAGUCGGAUCGUCAAGGUCGACUCCCACAGAAAACGAUAGCCACCAUCUCAUCGAAACAUCGGGACACCUUAGCCUCUAUCAUUCAUUAAAGACUUCUCAAAAAAUUCUAGGCCUCUGACUAAUCUCUUACAAAAAGAUGUCCCUUUUGUCUUUGAUGAUGAUUGUGUAGAAGCAUUUGAAAUACUUAAGAAAGCCUUGAUUUCUGCACCUAUUGUUCAGCCACCUGAUUGGAAUUUACCCUUUGAAAUUAUGUGUGACUAGUCAUCUACCCGUGCGGCUGUACGGCCUAGAAAUUUCUCUGUCUAACAUGGUUGUGUAAAUUCAUUUGUCACAUCAACAUUUUUGGAUAGCUAUACAUGUUGGUCAAACACAUCAAGUGUCCUACAGUAGAUGAACAGAAGUGUAGAGACACCCUAAUAUGUUUCUAUCGGUUGAACCUUUCUUGACCUGAUGAGCUACCAAGUCUUGAAAUAAUUGGUACAUAUACCAGGUCAAAUGUUACAAAAAUUAUAAAUCAACAACAAUUUCGAAGCUGUUAGGGACAAAUAUUCUAUUCAUUUUUUAUUUAUUUUAUUUCGGUCAUGUUUCUUUUCUUUCAAAAGGAAUGAAAAAAAUCAUUCACGAUUAGACUUUUUUUCAAAAGGAAUAACUGGACGUGGUUUUUUAAUUUCAUUUUUCUCAUGGGAACAUGCAUGUGGCUGAAAAACAUUUAGGCAUAAUUUUUCUAAGCAUGAGGUUUUGGCGAGCAAUUAUUUGUACGGCACUUUAAUUUGCUUUUUGUCAAGGGAGCACACUUGUGGUUUUUAUUUUGGUGAUAUUUAGGACAUGGAAUCUUUUUCUAGCAUUGGGCCUAAGGACGUUUCAUUUAUGUGUAUCUUUAUUUGAUAACAUAUCUUCUUUUUUCUUUAUCAAUGGAGAAGGAAAAUGGAUUUUGCUUUGGUUGGUACUUGAACGUCGGCAUGCAGGACAAUUUUCUGUGCAUGUGGGUUUAAUCCUUUUUCAUACUUUUAGUACGUGUUGUUUUUCUACUUUUUUUACCUUAAGUGAUCUCUCGUAAUAAAAUUCCUGGCAUAUGUUUUUUUACAUAAUAUGUCUUUGUUUCAGGAAACCAAGAGCGACUCAAGGGAGGAAGUCUCCCAUACAUGGUAGCAUAGGACACUUAGAUUUUUGUUUUAUAAAGAAAGAUUUCAUUUUUAAUGAAACAGAGAGAGUCCCAUGGGACUAAGACUCCCGUACGUGGAGUAAUAUCACUCAACAUGUCUUAUCUUUCAUCCAAAGGAUAUAGAUACAUUAUAAUUAAUCCAACGGUCAAUAUUCUUUAAUUAUAAGGAAUAACCUGGUGCCUCGUAUGGUGCCUCCAAUUAGUAAAUAUAAGAUGCUAGUGAUUAUGUUGUAGGUGUUGUUCUAGGACAAAGGGUUGAUAAGAAAUUAAAUGUUAUCCAAUAUGCUAGUAAAACUCUAGACAGUGCCCAGAGAAAUUAUGCUACUAUUGAAAAAGAAUUUUUAGCAGUUGUAUUUGCUUGUGAUAAGUUCAGACCUUAUAUUGUUGAUUCUAAAGUAACUGUUCACAUUGAUCAUGCUGCUAUUAAAUAUCUUAUGGAAAAGAAAGAUGCUAAACCUAGACUUAUUAGAUGGGUUCUAUUGCUACAAGAAUUUGAUUUGCAUAUUAUUGAUAGAAAGGGAGCUGAGAACCCCAUUGCAGACAACUUAUCUAGGUUAGAGAAUGUUCUUGAUGACACGCUACCUAUUGAUGGUAGAUUUCCUGAUGAACAAUUAGCUGUCAUAAAUGCUUCUCAUACUGCUCCAUGGUAUGAUGAUUAUGCUAAUUACAUUGUUGCUAAAUUUAUACCUUCUAGUUUCACAUACUAGCAAAACAAAAAGUUUUUCUAUGAUUUAAGACAUUACUUUUGGGAUGACCCAAACCUUUAUAAAGAAGGAGUAGAUGGUGUUAUUAGACGUUGUGUACCUGAGCAUGAACAGGAACGGAUCCUACACAAGUGCCACUCCGAGGCUUAUGGAGGACACCACGCUGGAGAUAGAACUGCACAUAAGGUAUUGCAAUCUGGUUUUUGUUGGCCUACUCUUUUCAAAGAUGCCCGUAAGUUUGUCUUGUCUUGUGAUGAAUGUCAAAGAAUUAGUAAUAUUAGUAGACAUCAAGAAAUGCCCAUGAACUAUUCACUUGUUAUUGAACCAUUUGAUGUUUGGGGCUUAGAUUAUAUGGAACCGUUUCCUUCCUCUAAUGGGUAUACACAUAUUUUAGUUGUUGUUGAUUACGUUACUAAGUGGGUAGAAGCUAUUCCAACUAGUAGUGUUGAUCAUAACACCUCUAUUAAGAUGCUUAAAGAAGUUAUUUUUCCGAGGUUUGGAGUGCCCAGAUACUUAAUGACUGAUGGUGGUUCACAUUUUAUUCAUGGUGCUUUUCGUAAAAUGCUUGCUAAGUAUGAUGUUAAUCAUAGAAUUGCAUCUCCAUAUCACCCACAGUCUAGUGGUCAAGUAGAAUUGAGUAAUAGGGAGAUUAAAUUAAUUUUGCAAAAGACUGUUAAUAGAUCUAGAAAGAAUUGGUCCAAGAAACUUGAUGAUGCAUUAUGGGCCUAUAGAACUGCAUAUAAAAAUCCUAUGGGUAUGUCUCCGUAUAAAAUAGUUUAUGGAAAAACAUGUCACUUACCUCUCGAACUAGAACAUAAGGCAUAUUGGGCCAUUAAAGAGCUCAAUUAUGAUUUCAAACUUGCCGGUGAGAAGAGACUAUUUGACAUUAGAUCACUUGAUGAGUGGAGAACCCAGGCCUAUGAGAAUGCCAAGCUGUUUAAAGAAAAAGUUAAAAGAUGGCAUGACAAAGGAUACAAAAGCGUGAGUUUAAUGUAGGUGAUUAUGUUUUGUUAUAUAACUCUCGUUUAAGAUUUUUUGCAGGAAAACUCCUCUCUAAAUGCGAAGGUCAACGUUAUCGAGGAGGUCUAUCAUUCCGUGCCAUAAAAAUCGACAACUUCGAAGGCACAAAUCCGAAGGUGGUGAACGGUCAAAGAAUCAAACAUUAUAUCUCAGGUAAUCCCAUAAAUGUUGAAACCAAUGUUAUUGACACCGUAACCCCGGAGGAGUACAUAAGGGACACUUUCCAGAAUGUUUCAGACUCUGAAAAGGAAUAGGUAUGUGGUACGGUAAGUAAACCGGCUCCAAAACAGUUCCAAUAGCAUUUUUUCUCCAUUUUGGAAUAUUUAAGAAAAUAGGAAAAUAAGAAGUAGUCCAAAAGGGACGCGAGGCGUCCACGAGGGUGGAGCGUGCGCCCUACCCCCUUGGGCGUGCCCCCUGCCUCGUGGGUACCUCGUGUGCCCUCUAGACUCCGUUUUCUUGCACGAUACUUCUUUUGGUCGGUAAAAAUUCAUUAUAUAAUCUCCCGAAGGUUUUGGCCACCGUACCACGACAAUACCUCAUGUUUUUGUCUUGAGUUGUUUCUGCCGCAGAUUAGAUCAAGAUGUCUUCUCAAGAGUCAGUCGGGGAGAUCCGAGUAUCUCACCCGACACCAUCGCCAAAAGUAAACAGCGAUACAUAUCACUUUGGGAGAUCAACUGAGGAGGAGAUGGAGGCCGACUUGAAAAGUAUAUAUGCCAUGGAGGAGGAUCAAGAAGUUACCUCUCAUCUCCAAGCCAGAUUCAAGAUGGAGGAACUUCAGAGCGCGGCAAUUCCAAAUUCGGUCAUCCCUCCCAAUGUUAGAUUUCUUUCUUAUGAAAAUAUGAAGAAUAGUGUUACUUGUUCUCCCGCGGCUAUGCAACAUCCAUGGGUGAAAGGAGCUUUAGCCAUCAUGGGUAAGCUCCGUAAGGAAAUAAUGGAUCUCAAGCAGUAAGUCAAUAAGCGCGAGGAAGAGAAUCAUAUCCUCAGGGGCAUCAUCGCUAAGAAUAUCACUUCACCAUCACCUCCGAAGAAAGAGAAAUAAAUACAUGGGUAUGGGCACUCCCCUUGGCAACUGCCAAGCUUGCGGGAGGUGCCCCGGUAUCGUAUCACCAUCACACUUCUAUCUUUACCAUUUUUCUUAGUUCGAUCCUUUUGGUUAUAUUUUGAUCUAGUAGAAUAAAGUUUAGUAUGAUCUAGCUUUGAGUCUUUGUGUUGAUCCUUAUCUAUGUAAUCGAGUCCAUGAGCUAUAUAUAAUAAAGAUUAGUCUUGAGUUGAGGGCUUGGUUAUCUUGCUAUGACCUUGAGGGAAUAAACGAAAGUAAAAAGAAAGAAUAAAAAGAAAUAAAGAGAUCAUAUUGAUCUUAUGGAGAGUAAUGACUUCACACAUAAAACAGUAUGAUGAAUAAAAGUUGUUGAGAGUUGAGAAACAUAGUUUUGGUCAUCGUUGCAAUUAAUAGGAAGUAAUAAAGAAAGAGAGGUUUUCACAUAUAAAUAUACUAUCUUGGACAUCUUUUAUGAUUGUGAGCACUAAUUAAAAUAUGACAUGCUAAAAAGUUGAUGUUGGACAAGGAAGACAACGUAAUGGGUUAUGUUUUCUUAUAUCCAAAAUAAAUUAUAUUGUCAUGGAUCAUCCAACAUGUUGAGCUUGCCUUUCCCCCUCAUGCUAACCAAAUUCUUUGCACCAAGUAGAGAUACUACUUGUGCUUUCAAAUAUCCUUGAACCUAGUUUUGCCAUGAGAGUCCACCAUAUCUACCUAUGGAUUGAGUAAGAUCCUUCAAGUAAGUUGUCAUUGCUGCAAGCAAUGAAAAUUGCUCUCUAAAUAUGUAUGAUCUAUUAGUGUGGAGAAAAUAAUCUUUAUACGAGCUUGUGAUAUGGAAGAAAUAAAAGCGACGGACUGCAUAAUAAAGGUCCCUAUCACAAGUGGCAAUAUAAAGUGACGUUGUUUUGCAUUAAGAUUUUGUGCAUCCAACCAUAAAAGCACAUGACAACCUCUGCUUCCCUCUGCGAAGGGUCUAUCUUUUAUUUUUGUCUUAUACCUUAUACAAGAGUCAUGGUGAUCUUCACCUUUCCUUUUUACACUUUAUCCUUUGGCAAGCACUAUGUGUUGGAAAGAUCCAAUUGGAUGUGGGCUUUCUUAAAGAAUUAUUGUUGAUGUUACCCUUGAGGUACAAGAUUGGGAGGCAAAACUAUAAGCCCCUAUCUUUCUCUGUAUCCAAUUAAAACUUCAUACCCGUAAGUAUUGCGUGAGUGUUAGAAAUUGUGAAAGACUAUAUGAUAGUUAAGUAUGUGAACUUGCUGAAAAGCUCUUAUAUUGACUAUUUCCGAUGUUAUGAUAAAUUGAAAUUGCUUCAAUGACUAAGAUUGUAGUUUGUUAGUUUUCAAUGAAGUUUCUGAUUCAUACUUGACAUUGUGAAUAGAUUGUUACUUCAGCAUAAGAAAUCAUAUGACAAUAUAUAUAUAUAUAUAUAUGUUGUUAUUCUAAGAAUAAUCAUGAUGCCUUCAUGUCCGUAUUUUAUUUUAUCGACACCUCUAUCUCUAAACAUGUGGACAUAUUUUUUGAUAUCGGCUUCCGCUUGAGGACAAGCGAGGUCUAAGCUUGGGGGAGUUGAUACGUCCAUUUUGCAUCAUGCUUUUAUAUCGAUAUUUAUUGCAUUAUGGGCUGUUAUUAUAGAUUAUUUCACAAUACUUAUGCCUUUUCUCUCUUAUUUUACAAGGUUUAUAUGAAGAGGGAGAAUGCCGUCAGCUGGAAUUCUCGGCUGGAAAAGGAGCAAAUAUUAGAGACCUAUUCUGCGCAACUCCAAAAGUCCUGAAACUCCACGAAAGUCAGUUUUGGAAUAUAUUAAAAAUAUUGGGCGAAGAAAGCACCAAAGGGGGGCCAUCCACCAUCCACGAGGGUGGGGGCGUGCCCAGGGGUAGGGCACCUGGAAGCCCCUCGAUGCUCAUCUUCUGGUAUAAGGUGUCUUUUGCCCUAGAAAAAUAGGGAGGAAGCUUUCAGGAUGAAGCACCGCCGUCUCGAGGCGGAACCAAUAUAGGGCUCCGGCGGAGCUGUUCUGCUAGGGAAACAUCCCUCCGAGAGGGGGAAAUCGUCACCAUCGUCAUUACCAUCAAUCCUCUCAUAGGGAGGGGGUCAAUCUCCAUCAACAUCUUCACCAGCACCAUCUCCUCUCAAACCCUAGUUCAUCUCUUGUAUCUUAUCUUUGUCUCAAAACCUCAGAUUGUUACCUGUGGGUUGCUAGUAGUGUUGAUUACUCCUUGUAGUUGAUGCUAGUUGGUUUAUUUGGUGGAAGAUUAUAUGUUCAGAUCCGUUAUGCAUAUUAAUACCCCUCUGAUUAUGAACAUGAAUAUGAUUUGUGAGUAGUUAUGUUUGUUCCUAAGGACAUGGGAGAAGUGUUGUUAUAAGUAUUCAUAUGAAUUUGGUAUUCGUUUGAUAUUUUGAUGAGAUGUAUGUUGUCUUUCCUCUAGUGGUGUUAUGUGAACGUCGACUACAUGACACUUCACCAUUCUUUGGGCCUAGGCGAAGGCAUUGGGAAGUAAUAAGUAGAUGAUGGGUUGCUAGAGUGACAGAAGCUUAAACCCUAUUUUAUGCGUUGCUUCCUAAGGGGCUGAUUUGGAUCCAUAUGUUUCAUGCUAUGGUUAGGUUUACCAUAAUUCUUCUUUCGUAGUUGCGGAUGCUUGCGAGGGAGGUUAAUCAUAAGUGGGAUGCUUGUCCAAGGAAGGGAAGUACCCAAGCACCGGUCCACCCACAUAUCAAAUUAUCAAAGUAACGAACGCGAAUCAUAUGAGCAUGACGAAAACUAGCUUGACAAUAAUUCCCAUGUGUCCUCGUGAGCGCUUUCCUUUAUAUAAGAGUUUGUACAGGCUUGUCCUUUGCUACAAAAAGGAUUGGGCCACCUUGCUGCACCUUGUUUACUUUUGUUACUUGCUACCUUUUACGAAUUACCUUAUCAUAAAACUAUAUGUUACCGAUAAUUUCAGUGCUUGCAGAGAAUACCUUGCUGGAAACCGCUUAUCAUUUCCUUCUGCUCCUCGUUGGGUUUGACACUCUCACUUAUCAAAAGGACUAUGAUAGAUACCCUAUACUUGUGGGUCAUCAUGUAUAUGCGGGAACAAUCUUGUGACACAAGGGAUGAUAUGAUACCAAGAUUAUAGCAAUAUGAUAUGGUAUGUACGCAAUGGAAGGUGUAGAUCGAUGAUCACUAAUGUGCACAAGUAACGUUGCCGGCAAGACUCAAUGGCUAGUCUCGAUAGGCAAGUGACGCAAAAUGGGCUAGGGAUUAACAAUGCAAUGGCAAGAAUGAAUGUACAAUGAUGGGAUACCACGAUACCAAGAUGAUAUAGAGGUUACUGUUCUUGCUUACGGUUAGGGUAUCAAAAUGGUGAAGGUGGUCGAUGACGAAUCCUUGACGAAGUUGAGAGGUGGUGUUAUUGAUGUUGAAACGUUCCUAGUUAGCCGACUCACCCUAGGAAACAGAAAAACCGCAAACUCAAAAUCUCAAAGGAAAAUGUCAAAUGGUGGUAGCGGCACUACUGCAGGAUGCUGCUAACGUGACACUACGAUUAGAGAUGCUUUAAUGAAACUGUGUGCGAUGCAUCAAUCACAAACGGGGAUGUAAAAACCGUCAGAAAAGGUGCAAAACAUUUGCAAUGGAGGAUGCAUCAAACACGGUUCACAUUUUAGUUGCGUGUGCGAUCUAGGGCAUACGGUUCAGUCCAAUGACCUAUUUGUGAUGAGGCGGAACAAAAGAAAUGGGCAGCCUGAUGAAGGCGUGUGCGAUAUAGAGCAUACGGUUCACUCGGAUGAACGGUUUGUGAUUAGGCAACACAAAAGAAACGGCCAACUAGAUGAAGGUGUGUGCGAUAUACAGCAUACGGUUCACUCGGAUGAACUGUUUGAGAUUAGGCAACACAAAAGAAACGGUCAGCCAGAUCAAGGUGUGUGAGAUUGAGGGCAUACGCUUCAGAAGGAUUAACUGUUUGCGAUUAGGCAACAUAACAGAAACGGGUAAGCCAGAUCAAAGUGUCUGCGAUUGAUGGCAUACACUUCACAUGGAUGAACUGUUUGCGAUUAGCCACAACAAAUUGAGACAGUUAGAUAGAUCAACGUGUGUGCGCUAGACAGGCACACCCAUUCUAAUUAAAAGAAGCGUGUGCGACGCUAAUAACGAGCGCGCACGGUUGUUGGAACAAGACGUGUGCUGACAUUGCCUAUUGCGGUGCACCCUAUGGUGCAAACGCCACGUACGCGGCCGAGAAGGCGUACGUGCCCAUGUUACGCCUUCCGGGAAUAGUGUCGCACUUAUAACCGUCAGUAAAUUUUGAGCAUGCGUCCUGUCACAAUUUUUUUAGAAGAACAAGGAGGUUGCGUCCCAUCACAUUCCAAAUUGCAAACCUGUUCACACCGAUCAAAACCUAUACAGUUUCCCACUUAGGAGUGUAUUACUACGCGGUUAUAAAUACUACUACUCCAAGAUGACUGCACAUUCCUCCUCAACUCCUCAUCCACAAAAAGUCAAAAACAAACACGUCAUUCAUCAUCGUUCCCUUACGUCCGCCAUGGCCAGCGUGAGUUCUGGGUCGAGAGAUUGCCACCAGGGAGAGGCGAGCCUGGAAGCGGGAGCACGAGAGAUGUCCUGCCUCGCCGCAAAAGCAGCCAACAUGUGCCGCCGCACGGCCGUAGCAGCAGAAGGUCCCGCCGCGCCACCGAAGCAGCAUGGAGGACCCGCCAUGCCGUCGAUGCAGCAGAAUGGUCCGGUCAUGCCGCGGAGGCAGAAGAGAAGUCCCGCCGUGCCGUGAAUGCAGCAAAGAUGUCCUCCCGCGUUGCGGUGGCCUGGGAAAAUGCCUUGCGGGCAGGAGAGGACUCUUACAGGCGCAUGCGUGUCCUCGUCCUUAGGCAGAUGGAUCAAAUCUCCAGGUGGGAGAGGUUGCAGGAUGACCUGAAAGCCUCGUUGGAACAGUCUACCGAUGUCAUCCUGCAACUAAAUGAGAGCAAUGCGAAGCUCCGGGCCGAGCGCGACCUGCUGAGGGCAAAGAUCGUCGGAAGUGCGGAGUGAGGGAGUCCUGGACUAAGGGGUCCUCAGGCAUCCGACCUGUUGGACAUGGGCCGGACUAAUGGGUUUUGAAGAUACAAGACCGAAGACUCUCUCCCGUGUCCGGAUGGGACUCUUCUUGGCGUGGAAGGCAAGCUUAGCGUCCAAGAUAUGAAGAUUCCUUUCUCUGUAACUGACUUUGUACAACCCUCAUCCCCUCCGGUGUCUAUAUAAACCGGAGGGCUUAGUCCGAAGGACAGAUAUAGUCAUACAGGCUAGACUUCUUGGGUUUUAGCCAUUACGAUCUCGUGGUAGAUCAACUCUUGUAAUACUCAUAUUCAUCAAGAUCAAUCAAGCAGGAAGUAGGGUAUUACCUCCAUAGAGAGGGCCCGAACCUGGGUAAACACUGUGUCCCUUGUCUCCUGUUACCAUCGACCUUAGACGCAUAGUUCGGGACCCCCUACCCGAGAUCCGCCGGUUUUGACACCGACAUUGGUGCUUUCAUUGAGAGUUCCAUUGUGCCGUCCUCAAGAGGUUUGAUGGCCCCUUCAAUCAUCUACAACAAUGCUGUCCAAGGAGAAGUCUUCCUCCCAGGACAGAUCUUAGUGUUCGGCGGCUUCGCACUACGGGCCAACUCGCUUGGCCAUCUUGAGCAGAUCGACAGCUAUGCCCCUGGCCGUCAGGUCAGAUUCGGGAGGUUGAACUACGUCACGGAUAUCUGCGGAGACUUGAUCUUCGACGGAUUCGAGACCACGGCAGCCGCUCCUCGUCACCAUGAUGAACAUGACUUAAAUCUGUCAUCGGACCAUACCCAGGAGAUAGCACCUGUAACUGCUCUGGCCUUAGAUCCAGAGCAGAUCGUGCCAUCUGAAGACAGGAAGCUCAACCCGGCCAUAGAUGCCGCAGUCUCAGCGGCGUUAGAGCCGCACACAGACCCAACCUCGAGUGGAAUCUGUGUCACCGAAGCCUCGGACUCGUUUCCGGCUAUAGGUUCUGAACCAUGUGUGUCCAGGUGCGUCGAGCUCGAUCAGUCUUUGAUCGUCGAAUUCAGCUCCACGGACAUUUUUCGGCACUCGCCUUUGGGCGACGUGUUAAACUCGUUAAAGGCACUAUCCUUAGCGGGGGGCUCACAGUCGAAUUAUAUCCGGUUUGAACUAGAGGCUGAUGACGGAGAACUUCCCUUCCCACCCACCGCCCACUUCACAGCCACUGUCAAAGAUUUAACCGACAUGCUAGAUUACAGCUCUAAAGACAUCGACGGUAUGGACGACGAUGCCAAUGAGGAGCAGGGCCAAAACCCGUCGUUUACUGGACGCUGGACGGCCACCUCUUCUUACGACGUGUACAUGGUGGAUACACCUAAAAGAACUAACGAUGAUGACAGAGAAGAUCCAGUUGAGGAUGAACCUCCUAUGAUACAGCCAAAACGUCGGUGUCAGCGGCCCUGUUCUAAGUCACGUCAUGGAAAAGACAGCAAUACUGGCACGGGGGAAAACAAUACUCCGGACGAUGCCGAAGAUAAUGAAGACCCUGUUGAGAUAACUUCCGAACAGGAGGAACAGGAAAACGGGCAAGUUAGCCCUGACGAACAGGCCAUAAACGACAACUCGGAGGACAUUAAUUAUCUUCCACUCUCCGAGGAUGAGGUGAGCCUUGGCAAUGAGGAUUUUAUCGUGCCUAAGGAACCUCUCGAGCAGGAGCGCUUCAAGCGCCGGCUAAUAGCCACUGCAAGGAGCCUGAAAAAGAAGCAGCAGCAGCUUCAAGCUGACCAAGAUCUGCUCAACGAUAGAUGGAAUGAUAUCCUAGCAGCCGAAGAAUACGGCCUCAAGCGCCCAGCCAAAAGCUACCCGAAGCGCAAAUUGCUACCUCAGUUCGAUGAUGAGGCACCGGAGCCUGUACCAUCAUCGCGCAAUGCGGCUGACCGACCAUCACAUGGUCGGGAUAAAGCGGCAACUCAAGCCGAACACCAACCCGCCCCACCUCAUCACAAAGGCAGAGAUAAACUAGCUCAUGGUUAUACAUAUGCCCUUCGGCAGGACCUAGACAGUAGAUUAGGACAUACCAGAUCGAUCUACGAAUCGCGAGGACGCGUCCUCACACGCGACGAUGGCCAUCUAUUCAGACGUGACAACCCUAGCAUGCCCAGGCCAAAAACCGCAGACGGACUCCAUCUGAGCUAUGUCGCGAUGUGGACCGAUAUUGAGGCGGCGCACACCCUCUUUGAUUCACUGACGAAGUAAUGGAGCAUGAAUUCCCAGAAGGGUUUAAACCCGUGAAUAUCGAAUCAUAUGAUGGAACAACUGAUCCCGCGGUAUGGAUCGAGGAUUUUCUUCUCCAUAUCCAUAUGGCCCGUGGAGAUGACCUUCACGCCAUUAAAUACCUCCCACUAAAACUCAAAGGGACAGCUCGGCACUGGUUAAACAGUCUGCCCGAAAACUCUAUUGGCGGCUGGGAGGAUUUGGAAGACGCCUUCCAUGACAACUUCCAAGGUACAUAUGUUCGGCCACCAGAUGCCGAUGACUUAAGUCACAUAGUUCAACAGCCCGGAGAGUCAGCCAGGAAAUUCUGGACUAGGUUCCUAACUAAAAAGAACCAGAUCGUCGACUCUCCGGAUGCCGAAGCCCUAGUGGCCUUUAAGCAUAGCAUUCGCGACGAAUGGCUCACCCGCCACCUUGGUCAAGAAACUUCGAAGUCCAUGGCAGCCCUCACGGCACUCAUGACCUUCUUUUAUGCGGGUGAGGAUAGUUGGCUGGCUCAUAGCAAAAACAUGGCAAGCGAAGCGGGCACCUCCGAUGUUAAAAACAGCAACGGCAAGCUCCGACGCAACAGGCACAAAUGUCGAAGCAAUGGUGACAAUACCGAUGACACGACAGUCAACGCCGGAUUCAGUGGCUCCAAGUCCGGUCAGCGGAAGAAGCCAUAUAAAAGAAACAACCUGGGACCAUCCAGCUCAAACCGCAUACUCGAUCGUCCGUGCCAGAUCCAUGGCACCCCAGACAAACCAGCCAAUCAUACCAACAGAGAUUGUUGGGUUUUUAAACAGGCCGGCAAGUUAAAUGCCGAGAACAAGGAGAAGGGAUCGCAAAGCGAGGACGAUGACGAGGAGCCCCGGCCACCGAACACAAGGGGACAGAAGAAGUUUCCCCCUCAGGUCAAAACGGUGAACAUGAUAUACGCUACCCACAUCCCCAAGAGGGAGCGCAAGCGCGCUCUCAGGGACGUCUAUGCGAUAGAGCCAGUCGCCCCAAAACUUAAUCCAUGGUCGUCAUGCCCGAUCACCUUCGAUCGUCGGGAUCAUCCGACCAGUAUCCAUCACGGCGGUUCAGCCGCACUGGUCCUUGACGCAAUAAUUGAUGGAUUCCACCUAACGCGAGUCCUCAUGGACGAUGGCAGCAGCCUCAACCGUCUCUAUCAGGAUACAGUACACAAAAUGGGCAUUAAUCCAACACGGAUCAAGCCCACAAAGACUACCUUUAAAGGAGGCAUGCCCGGUGUAGAGGCCCGCUGUACGGGCUCAAUCACACUAGAGGUUGUCUUCGGAUCUCCGGACAACUUCAGAAGUGAAGAGUUAAUCUUCGAUAUCGUCCCCUUUCGCAGCGGCUAUCACGCACUACUUGGACAAACCGCAUUUGCUCGAUUCAACGCGGUGCCACACUAUGCUUAUCUCAAGCUCAAGAUGCCUGGACCACGCGGCGUCAUAAUAGUUAAUGGAAACAGGGAAUGCUCCCUCCGUACUGAGGAGCACACCGCUGCCUUAGCAGCAAAAGUACAGAGUGGCCUUUUCAAGCAGAACCUUAAUUCGGUGGUCGAGCUCCCCGACACUGUCAAGAGAGUCCGGACUAUUCCGCGGUAGGACAGCUCAGCUCGUCAAGAGCUCGACUAGCAAUCUAGCCUCCGUCCCAGUCCCGACCAAGUGGCAGCAUUCGUACCACGGGUACAUAACUACGCACUCAAAAUACCAUGGGCAUAGACGAAGGCAUAACUAUCUUGUGAUCCACAGUACGGCUCGAUCGAACCCGGACAUGAAAGUGCGUUAUAUCGACUAGAGGGGGGUGAAUAGGCGAUUUUUAUGAAAGUCUUCAGAACAUGGGAGUUUUGAAGACAAACGAUAAAAAUAGACCUAUUACCAUGCAGCGGAAGGUAGACUACACUAGGCAAACCAUAGUCAAGUAUUCAAUGAAGUGAAAGCACAAAGACUAAUAGCAGCUAGGUAGUAAGGAUCAGAUAGGAAGAUAUUGUGAAGCCAAACAGAACACGCAGUCACUCAGUGAAGACAAAUGAUAGAGCAAACAUACAAUGACUUCACAAGGAGUAACAGUAAGUAACGUGAAGUGAAGAUGAAACCAGUGACUCGUUGAAGACAAUGAUAUGUUGAACCAGUUCCAGUUGCUGUGACAACUGUACGUGUGGUUGGAGCGGCUAGGUAUUUAAACCUUAGGACACACAGUCCCGGACACCCAGUCCUGAACACACAGCUCAGGACACCCAGUCCUCACCGUAUUAUCCUUGAGCUAAGGUCACAUAGACCUCGCCCAAUCACUCUGGUAAGUCUUCAAGGUAGACUCCCAAACCUUCACACACUUCGUUCACUGGCAAUCCACAAUGUCUCUUGGAAGCUCAGAACGCGACGCCUAACCGACUGGAGGAUGCACAGUCCUCAAGUGUAAUAAGUCUUCAGAUCACACAGAGAAGAAGACUUAAGUGAUGCCCAAUUCUCUCUGGCUCUGGUGGUUAGGUCUUUAUCCUCGCAAGGAAUUCUCUCUGAAAGGCUUCGAGGUGGGUUGCUCUCAAAUGACAAAAGCCGUGCUUUCAAUCUGAGCAGCUAACCAUUUAUGGUUGUAGGGGGUGGGCUAUUUAUAGCCACUUGGCAACCCGGCCUGAUUUGUCCGAAAUGACCCUGGGUCACUAAGGAACUGACACGUGUUCCAACGGUCAGAUUUCAAACUCACACGACAACUUUACUUGGGCUACAAGCAAAGCUGACUUGUCCGACUCUGGACAAGAUUCGCUCUCAUUGUCUUCACUCGAAGACAUAGGUUUUUGGUUUAGGCAUCACUUCAGUCAUUCUGACUGGUUCUCUUGGACCCCACUUAACAGUACGGUGGUUCAUAUGACUGAACACAAAAGAAAAAGAACUACAAAAGAUCUAAGUCUUCGAGCUCCAUAGGCUUCAUAUCGUGUCUUCUCUUGUCAUAGUCUUCAAUGUGAAUAUCUUCAUAUACCACCUUUGACUUCAAUGUCUUCAUACAUUUUUAGGGGUCAUCUCUGGUAGUAAAACCGAAUCAUGAGGGACUUCUACCUGUGUUAUCCUGCAAUUCUCACAAACACAUUAGUCCCUCAACUAGGUUUGUCGUCAAUACUCCAAAACCAACUAGGGGUGGCACUAGAUGCACUUACAAUCUCCCCCUUUUUGGUGAUUGAUGACAAACUAGUUGAAGUUUUCAACGGGGAAUAUAAUCUGUGAAACUGUAAAGGAUAAGGAAUUGUCUUCAUAAGUUGCAAGGGCUCCCCCUGAAGAUGUGCAUAUUAGUUAAUUUGCUUUUGGAAUGCAAAUGCACAUGGCAGGUGGUACUUGUGGAGAUCCACUUAAACUUAUGAUGACAAUCCACUAUGCAUGUGAAAGUAUAUGAAGAUAAUGCCAUGCAUAAUGGAAAAUGGACGUCUGCAGAAUGAGUUGAGUGCGGAAUUUAUCGUCGCACAUGCGGAAUUUAUCUUCGCAAAACAAGGUGGCAAAUAAGUAGUAGACGACCAUCUAGUUUAAGUGUUACAACUCAUAAGAACCAAAUGUAGCAAAAAAACGAGAGUUGUAAGCACGAAGCAAAAUAUAAGGCACCCGCCCAUAUGAACCCGCUUGAAGACUAUCAAUCUCAUAUGCUUCUCCCCCUUUUGUCAGUAAUGACCAAAAAGGUUUGAAGACAUAGAGCCUCUACUCGUUCCCAUGAGGAGUAGGUGAAGUAGCAGGGUUGUUGGUGUUGUUUGGCGGUGCAGAAGAGCUUGGAGGUGCUGAAGGAGGUGGCGGUGAAGUAGCAUCGUCUUCUUCUUCAAUAAUUCUGGCAGUGACUAUGGCAGCAGAGGAAGAGAACUCAGAGUCUUCAAGGGAUGGAGUUCCUAGUAGCACAGCCCUUCGAGGAGGUGUGGAGUCAAACUUGAAUCUCUUAGUGAAGCCAUCCUCUUGAAGAUCAGCUUCAGAAAGCAUCAUCGUUAGCCCUUUCCAUGUGCAGCGACAGGUUUCAUGGGCAACGAAAAUAUUCUUGGUGGCAAGAUUUCGAGUGUGAUUAACAUCCACCAAGAGGCUUUUCAUCUGACGCUUCAGCCAGUCAUGAUGCCUAUCUUGUUUCUGAUGUAGAGCCACAAGAAGCUCUCGGUCGUUGAGAACACGAGUGCGCUUCUUGGGUCUUGGAGCAGUGGUACUGUCAGUGGCUUCAGUGGAAGCAGGGUGUGGUGCACGUGUAGUGCCAGCCAAAGGAUACACCCGAGAAACUGCUUCAACGCCUUCAACGUUCUGCAUAAAACUCUGAUGUUCUGCAUUCUGAAGACUUAGAGGUUGCUUGGCAGGCUCAGAAUAUAUGGCUUCAGUAGACAUGUCCACAUCAGGCAAGAAGAUCCGAUGGUUGCGGGCUGAGGGCUGAUAAGAGAUGGCGGAGUGUAGCUUGAUCAGCCGCAUGACCCAAGGGGCGUAGAACUUCAAAUCAAACAGAUCAAUGCCUGAUGCAGCAAGUUGGCGUAUGAAGAAGUCCUGUGCAUUGAAGCAUUUUCCAUGAAGUAUAUAGAAGACCAAAGUCUUCAUUGCACCCUGAAGCUUGGCAUUUGGAGAGUGCCCUUUGAUAGGCCAGAGAGUUUGCCUGAUGAUGUGAUAGAUGGUUCUGGGCAGGUACUCAAGGUCUUCAAUGAAGAACUCUGUGGGAUACGCAGCAUCUUGGGGCAAUGGCUUCAUCAUGCUGAGCAUUUGACUCAUAUUAGGUUCUGGCCGCUGAAAGAUGCUCUCAAUAGCUUCAGCAUGCAGCUGACAGCCUUGCUCGAAGAGAUCGCCAGGAGUGGGCAAGCCAAUGAGCUCAAUGAUGUCAAAUGCAUUGGCUUCGUGAUGAACGUUGCCAGUCAUCCACUCCAGGACACAAGUCUUCAGAUCUCUGCUGUAUCCUUUGAUGUGAAGUGUGGCAUAGAAUUGUAGCAGCAGAUCUUCAUUCCAAUGCUCUUCAGCAGUAACAAAUUGCAGCAGACCCACUUGCUUGAAGCAAUCCAACGCUUCUUCUAGAUAGGGCAGACCAGCUAUAGCUUCAACGUCAAGGCGCUUGUGUGGGAAGAUGCGUCCUUGGUUGUAAAGAAUGCAAGAGUAAUAGCUUCGCUCAGGAUAGCUCCAGAACCGAUCAGAUGAUAUCCGUUCCCUUGAGUAGGGGUUCCUGGAGCUGUUGAAGAACGUGUUGUCUUCCCUGAAGCCAUUGAUGUUGAAGGAGCCAGGUGCUGAUGCAGGACCUGGAAACCUUGGCAGUCUUGGGAUUGGCUUCUGGACCUGAGGCCUGUGCUCAACAUGAUAGUUGAAUUGGGGACCGGCAGCAGACUCGGGAACAGAAGUGGCGGGAUCAGUGGCUUCGCUGUCUUCUGAAGCUUUUGCUGGGGAGGGCUCCACAUUAGCUUCGUUGUUGGUUGUGGCAGCCUCAAGAUUUUCAUCCUCCACUUGACUAGCUGGAGGGUCAGUCACAUGCACGUUCUCCUAGAGAACUGCUUCUUGGUGGAGCAGGGGAGUGGGAUCUUGUGGUACUUCUUCUUCUGUGGCUGAUGCAGCCGGAAUGUCUUCAGCAUAGACUUGAGGCCUUGGACCUUUGCGAAGCCUGCGGAACGCAGAUGACGCCUGUGGAAUUGGAGUGGGCUGGGCCUCAUAGUCUUCUUCCUCUUGUGGGCGAUCCGCCCAUGAAGCAUCCUGUGCAAUUGGCGUCAGUGGACGACCAAUGCUGAUGAGUUUGCUGUUUUCUAACUGAGGAAGGACUGCAUCAUCUUCUACAUUGUCAUGAUGACCAAUGUCUUCAGCAGCGAUGGGAUCAGCUGCUGGAAUGUCUUCAGCUUCAGGAGCCUCUGUGAAAGCAGGCUCAUGAACCGUCAGUUGACGUUCUGCUUCAGGAUGAACCAUAGAAAUGGGUUCAACUAUCAAGGGCUCUGUGGGAGCAGCCCGAGCUUUCUUGGUUUUUCGCUUUUUCUUGGUGGGGGCAGUAGGAGAGUCUUCAGAGUGUUUCCUCUUCAUGGCUUCAGCCUCAGCAGUUCUUGUCUUCUUGAGCUCUGAAGCUGUUGACCUGCUCUUUGGCUUCGAGCCAGUCAUUCUUGUUGGGAAGACAAUCGAAACUGCUUCUUGCCUUGGUGCAUUAGAUUCAGCCGUAGCAGGCUUCUUCUUCUUCUUUGCGGCCAUCCUGGGGUCGAUGCCAGGACACCCAAGUGCCUUGCGCUUCUCAGCCUCAUUAUAGGCUUGCACACAUCUGUCAGCCAGAGUCUUCAUGCGCUCACGCGAACCCUGAGCUUCUGCACGCUUCUUCACAAAGGCUUCCUUGAGCUCAUGCAUCAUUGUCUUGAAGUUCUUCACUUCUUGCACGCUGAGCUUGGCCAUAUGCUUCUUGAACUGAGCCUUUUCAUAGUCAAUCUUCUACUUCAGCUCAACAACGCGCUGGGCAAUAGCAAGUUCUGAAGCAAUGGCGCCUUGGAAGGCGACACUGAGGCCAAUGGGUAGCUGCAGAUCUUCAAAGCUGAUGUUUGGCGUGUCAAACCACUCGUCAAUGAAGUUGUGGAUGAUGGUGACAUCAAAGAGAGGCAGAUCAUUGAAGAUUUCUGCUUCUUCUUUGCUCUUGAUGAGUUGCUCAAGAGUGUCAUCUGCAAGAUCUUCAUCACUUGACAGAUCAAUGUCGUCGUUGCGUAGAAUGGUAGCAGCUGCUAGCUCUUUGCCAGUGUGAAACAGAGGCAUCUUGGCCUUCUGGGGCCUUGAGACAGGUGAUAAGUCUUCAGACUGCACACUGUCUUCAGGAGGUGCAGUUGCCAAUGGCUUCGCCCUUGAGAUUUUUGGUGAAGGGGCCGGCUUUGAAGCUUUUGGCUUCUUCAACUGCUUUGGCUUCGGCACUUCAGGCGCGUCAUCAGACUCAGUGUCAGCUGUAGGCUCAUUCACUGCAGUCCCUUGAACCAAUAUGUAGGUGAUGAGGCCUUCAAGGUUGGCGAAAGGGCCGAUGACAUUGGGUUCUGCAUGUUGUGUGCCAUCUGCCCUUGGAGAUGAGGGACCAGGGUUGAAGUCUAACCCAAAAGUCUUCUUGUUCUGCUUCGCUGAGUUCUGAGCAAACUGGAAGUUGCGCUUGAACAGAUUGUCGUCACGACACAAUAGCAGUGACGACGAGUGUGCAUCAGCAGGCUGUGGUCCAUGGACCAUGCAUGGAUAGAAGCCUUGAGCAAUGGCUUCAUCUCUGGACCUGGGUAGAAGAUUCUUGAAUAGGAUGUCUCCCCACGGUCUCUUGAUGGUGCUUUUCUCAACAUACUCCUGGGUCACAAAUCUGUAUUUAAACCAUUGUUCUGCCCAAUAUCUUCGAAUCCAUUGGAUUCGGGUCUUGCACUGACUGUAAUCCUCUUCAGGAUCUGUCUUGUACAUUUCUGAGAGUUCAUCUGGCAGAUCUCUGGAGGUCUCACCACGACGCUUUCUUCCACCCUUCCUUGCUGCUUUCUCUGAAGCCAUAAACUUUAACUUGAAAGGCUUCAAGACGUUCAAAGGCUUCAAAGGUUUUCGUUUGCUGGACCAACAGGAACUGGCUUCGGGAGAAUUUAGGUGAUGCUGUAAGAAUUCUGCAAAUGAAUGUAGACUAUGAGAACCAAAGGAUUCUCCCACGGACAUGUACCUGUGACAGCAUUAAGAUGCGAGGGAAGGGGAAGAGGUCAUAUGCAUUCUCAGAAGAUUUUGAAGAUAAAUCAGGUUAGAAGACAUUGACCUCAUCGUGCGAAGACAUUCACUCAUAGAUAAGAAGUUGGUUCCAGAUUUGUACGAAUCCACAGAUCAGUACAAGUGAGGAAUCUAACUACUUUGUUAAGCACAAGUGAAUAUACUAGGCAUUUUUAUGAGAUGCCGUAUGAGAGAGAUUUAGCUUGUGUGAACAAAAACUGCUUGUGGUAGAAAGUGACAGAUCAAUAGGAUCAACGGUGCUGUAAAAAGGGAGUUUUAUUUACCACACUGGGAACUGCUAGACGAAGUGGGAGAUGAGGCAGAGCAGUUCGAUCCUCCGUGCCCUAACUUGGCGACGGAGGACACCUACGGCGACGGCGGAGAGGACGAUGUCCGCGGUCGGCGUGAAGACGGCGUCGGAGAGGUUGCGGCAGCGAAGCGCUUCGUCACCGGCGACGUCGAGAGCUAGUGGUGGCGCUAGGGUUCGUGCGAGGGUGGAAGAAGAGAUAAUGACCGCUGUGAGUGUGUAUUUAUCGGCACAUGGGCGGCACUGUGCUAUUACACAGGUGCCCUGGCGAUUCGCAUUUGGGGAACACAUGGCCAUUAUGCGGAAUUUUGGGGUUUGUUCCACGUCCCAUGCACGCCUGGAUUGUCGGGUGGUUGUUCCUACUUCUCCGGAAUUCAUGUGGAGGAAUGAGCAUUGAAAACGGACUUAAUGGUUGUCUCUGUAUCUUCUGCUGACAAGGACGCAGAGAAGACAUUCGAUAGUUUCAAUAGAAUGCAUAUGACUUGGAGAGAUAGAGUUUGAGAUAGAAAGCAUAGAGAAGUUAGGGUCCGAUCACAUUCACUUAGUUCAAAAGAUUCAACACGAAGGCAUAGAUAUAAGUGAAUGCUGUAGAGGACAGAAUACUAGCAUAUAUAUAUAUAUAUAAUCAACAUAGUGAAGAUAAUAAUAAAAAUAUGUUGAGAUCGAAGCCAAACCAAAUGUGAUGAUGAGGACAUCAAUACAAUUGUUACACCCACAGCCCCUGCUGCUAUACAUACUGGACCAAUUACUAGAGCUCGUGCACGCCAAUUAAAUUACCAGGUACUUUCGUUUCUUGGUAAUGAUUCUAAUGUUCAUGAGAAUAUGAUGCUGCCUAAAUUGGAUACAUUUGUUUUGCUUACAAAUGAAGGGCCUAGCUUGGAGAAGGAUGAACAUUGGAGCAAGAACAAGCAUGGAGAUGAUGGCAUGCGCAAGGGGAACAAGAACGGAGUUACAAGUGAUGAUUUCAGGACUUUGAAGCCACCAUAAUGGGUGCAUGAAGCCUUGGAUGAAAUAUACAAGAUGCCACUUCAUAAAUUUCGUCCCGAGGCUAUUUUAGGUGCUGCGUCACCUUAUUAUUGGGCCAGGCCCAUGUAAUUUCGAAAUACAUAAGUAUAGGCUAUUUUUAGAGUCCGUAUGUGUGGGGAAACAAGAGAUAGGGUUGAUUUCGGACCCCUCCACCAAGGGCCACGAAAUUCCCCCCUCUUCCUCCAUAUAUACAGCCCUUAGGGCAUCGUUUAGACUUUGGGUUUUGUUUAGAUUAAAAGUUCGCCAUAGCUGCAACUUCGCGUACUUCGUUUGUGUUCAACGACCAGACAAAGGCGUCACAGAACCCCACCUUGAUUAAUAAAGCUUUCAUCUUAUAUUCGCAAUAUCCAGAUUGCAAUCUCAGUUUCUUGCUUGUUCUUCGUUUGCUUGCAGGAAACAGACCCUCGUGGUCAGGUUGAUCGUGCUCCGGCGUGGUCAAUAACCUCUCGUAGUUGGUUUAGUGAUUGCUAAGGCGCGACGUCCUCGCACGUUCGUAGUCGGAUCGUCAAAGUCAACUGCCACCAAAGCAAUAUCCAUCAUCUCAUCGAAAGACGGGACACCUUUGCCUCUAUCAUUAAUAGAGCUAAUAAAGCAAAACAGGAGACAAAUAAGAGUGAAAAUCAGAUUGUGGCAAAAGAAUUUGUGCACCAAAUGAAGCCUAAAAAUAAACCAUCUACUGUUGUUUCUGAAAUUAAAUUGAAAAGUGCAUGUUUACUUGCCACCAAAUCUGAUAUUGAUGAGCUAGAUUUUAGCAAAUCUGUUUGCUUUGCUUUUGUGUGCAAAGAGGUAUUAUUUUCAUUCGAGGACGUGCCUUCCUCUUUGCCCCCUGUUGUCACUAACAUUUUGCAGGAGUUCGCUGACGUCUUUCCACAAGACGUGCCACCGGGAUUACCACCUAUUCGAGGGAUUCAGCAUCAAAUUGACUUAAUUCCCGGUGCUUCGCUACCCAACUGUGCUCCAUACCGUACCAAUCCAGAGGAGACGAAGGAGAUUAUGCGUCAAGUACAAGAACUGCUCGACAAAGGUUAUAUACGCGAAUCCCUUAGUCCUUGUGCUGUUCCUAUCAUUUUAGUGCCGAAAAAGGAUGGUAUGUCGCGUAUGUGCGUUGAUUGUAGAGGCAUUAAUAAUAUUACUAUUCGUUAUCGUCAUCCUAUUCCUAGGCUAGAUGAUAUGCUUGAUGAAUUGAGUGGCUCUACAAUAUUCUCCAAAGUUGAUUUGUGUAGUGGAUACCAUCAAAUUCGUAUGAAAUUGGGUGAUGAAUGGAAAACAACAUUUAAAACUAAGUUUGGAUUAUAUGAGUGGUUAGUCAUGCCUUUUGGGUUAACUAAUGCACCUAGUACUUUCAUGAGGUUAAUGAACGAAGUUUUAUGUGCUUUCAUUGGACGAUUUGUGGUAGUUUACUUUGAUGACAUAUUGAUUUAUAGCAAAUCUUUGGAGGAACAUUUGGAACAUUUAUGUGCUGUUUUUAUUGCUCUACGUGAUGCACAUUUGUUUGGAAACCUUGGAAAGUGCACCUUUUGCACCGACCGAGUAUCUUUUCUUGGCUAUGUUGUUACUCCACAGGGAAUUGAAGUUGAUAAAGCCAACAUUGAAGCUAUUGAGAGUUGGCCGCAGCCCAAAACGGACACACAAGUGAGGAGUUUCCUUGGCCUCGCUGGUUUCUAUAGGCGUUUUGUGAGAGAUUUCAGCACCAUUGCUGCACCUCUCAACGAGCUUACAAAGAAGGAUGUGCCUUUUGUUUGGGGUACCGCACAGGAAGAAGCCUUCACGGUAUUGAAAGAUAAGUUGACACAUGCUCCUUUACUCCAACUUCCUAAUUUCAAUAAGACUUUUGAGCUUGAAUGUGAUGCUAGUGGAAUUGGAUUAGGAGGUGUGUUAUUACAAGAUGGAAAACCUGUUGCAUACUUUUCUGAAAAAUUGAGUGGGCCUAGUCUGAACUAUUCUACUUAUGAUAAAGAAUUAUAUGCUCUUGUUCGGACCUUAGAAACAUGGCAACAUUAUUUACGGCCCAAGGAAUUUGUUAUACAUUCUGGUCAUGAACCUUUGAAACACAUUAAAAGUCAAGCAAAACUGAACCGUAGACAUGCUAAAUGGGUUGAAUUCAUUGAGACUUUCCCUUAUGUCAUUAAACACAAGAAGGGUAAAGAAAAUGUUAUUGCUGAUGCCUUGUCUCGUCGUUAUACUAUGCUUUCACAACUUGACUUUAAAAUAUUUGGUUUGGAGACCAUCAAAGAUCAAUAUGUUCAUGAUGCUGAAUUUAAAGAUGUAUUGCAGAAUUGUAAGGAAGGGAGAACUUGGAACAAGUUCGUUAUUGACGAUGGAUUUGUGUUUCGUGCUAACAAGCUAUGCAUUCCAGCUAGCUCCGUUCGUCUUUUGUUGUUGCAGGAGGCGCAUGGAGGAGGAUUAAUGGGACACUUUGGCGUCAAGAAGACGGAGGAUAUACUUGCUACACAUUUCUUUUGGCCAAAGAUGAGACGGGAUGUUGAGUGUUUUGUUGCUCGCUGCACUACAUGUCAAAGAGCUAAGUCACGACUCAAUCCUCAUGGUUUAUAUAUGCCUUUGCCUGUACCUAGUGUUCCUUGGGAGGAUAUAUCUAUGGACUUUGUUUUAGGUUUACCUCGAACAAAGAAGGGGAGGGAUAGCAUAUUUGUUGUCGUGGAUAGGUUCUCGAAAAUGGCACACUUUAUACCAUGUCAUAGAAGCGAUGAUGUUGUUAAUGUUGCUGAUUUGUUCUUUCGUGAAAUUAUUCACUUACAUGGUGUGCCAAAUGCUAUUGUUUCAGAUCGUGAUACUAUAUUUCUUAGCCACUUUUGGAGAUGUUUAUGGGCUAAGUUGGGGACUAAGCUGCUUUUUAGUACUACUUGUCACCCCCAAACUGAUGGACAAACUGAAGUAGUCAAUAGAACAUUGUCUACUAUGCUUAGGGCUGUUUUGAAGAAUAACAAGAAAAUGUGGGAAGAAUGCUUGCCUCAUAUUGAAUUUGCUUAUAAGCGUUCAUUGCAUUCUACUACUAAGAUGUGCCCUUUUGAAAUUGUUUAUGGUUUCCUACCUCGUGCACCUAUUGAUUUGUUGCCUCUUCCAUCUUCAGAGAAGGUUAAUUUUGAUGCUAAAGAAUGUUCUGAAUUGAUUUUAAAAAUGCAUGAGUUAACUAAGGAAAACAUUGAGCGUAUGAAUGCUAAAUAUAAACUUGCUGGAGAUAAGGGUAGAAAACAUGUUGUGUUUGCGCCUGGAGAUCUUGUUUGGUUACAUUUGCGUAAAGAUAGAUUUCCUAAUCUGCGCAAAUCAAAGCUAAUGCCACGUGCUGAUGGUCCUUUUAAGGUGUUAGAGAAAAUAAAUGAUAAUGCAUAUAAACUUGAGCUACCUGUAGAUUUUGGGGUUAGUCCCACUUUUAACAUUGCAGAUUUGAAGCCUUAUUUGGGUGAGGAAGAUGCGCUUCCGUCGAGGACGACUUCGUUUUAAGAAGGGGAGGAUGAUGAGGACAUCAAUACCAUUGUUACACCCACAGCCCCUACUGUUACAUAUACUAGACCAAUUACUAGAGCUCGCGCACGCCAAUUAAAUUACCAGGUACUUUCGUUUCUUGGUAAUGAUUCUAAUGUUCAUGAGAUUAUGAUGCUGCCUAAAUUGGAUACAUUUGUUUUGCUUACAAAUGAAGGGCCUAGCUUGGAGAAGGAUGAACAUUGGAGCAAGAACACGCAUGGAGUUGAUGGCAUGCGCAAGGGGAGACGGAGUUACAAGUGAUGAUUUCAGGACUUUGAAGCCGCCAUAAGGAGUGCAUGAAGCCUUGGACGAAAUAUACAAGAUGCCACUUCAUAAUAUUCAUCCAUAGGCUAUUCUAGGUGCUGCGUCACCUUAUUAAUGGGCCAGGUCCAUGUAAUUUCGAAAUACUUAAGUAUAGGCUAUUUUUAGAGUCCGUAUGUGUGGGGAAACAAGAGUUAGG